rnacentral:lncRNA from 1 species
AAUCAUAUUAAAGUAUUAACGUUGUCAUUUGCAAGAGUAGAACUUAAAAUUCUAUUUACAAUCCUCGUUGAUUAGACAAAAUUAGUUGAGUGAUUGAAGGAUUAACAGACUUUAACAAAAUAAGAAAACCUCUUGUACUAGACUAUUUCCUUUUCGAUACAUCAGCAACGCAAACCCUCCAAACAAUUGAGGUCAACCUGUCUAGCAGAUUAGUAAAACUAGAGAGAAAACAAGAACUUCCUACAUGUAGAGCAUUUCACAGUAUGGAAUUGAACCAAAUUAGUAACAGUUGAAAGAAAAAAAAAAAAAACUAAUGAAAAUGACUUGAAAACUUUGAGUUUUAAUGAUAAGGAUAAAAUAAAGGGUAAAGUGAAUAGUACCAAGAUUGACUUUUUAGUGUAAAAAUGUGGUUUUUCGUUAAAGUGAACAGUACCGGGUGCUUUUCGUUAAAAUUCCCAAAAAAAAAAGCGCAAAAAUAUUGAGCCAUUGUAACCAAACAGACACUAUCAAGCACGUAAAUCACAAUGCUGCAAAUGAAAUAUUCCCUAUUUGGCUGCUAGGAAAAUUAGAGGAGAUUGUACAUUCGAAACGAAAAUUGCAAGCAUUGUUAGUGCAGUUUAUUAAACUAAACAUGGCAAAUACCAAAAAUAUAUAUAACAAUAUUUGAGAAUUUCAUAUAUAUUCAUUAAUUUCCAAAGUGGAGUAUAUAUAGGAGUUACAAUUAGU